GCGGGAAAUAAACACCAAAUACAUAAAUAGUAUAUAUGAUCAUAGAAAUAGUGAAGAAUUUUAAGUCAAAUAUUCUUUGCUUACAAAUUAAGUUGAACAAGCCACACAGUUCUUUGUUUUGUGUUAAAAUUUGGUUCUCACGGGACAUACUCGAUACACAAAUAAUGUGUGUUUACUUGCAAUAUCACAACGAAAUGCAGAGUUGAGGAUAUAAUUUUGGAAUUACUUCUGAUAAAGGUUAACUGAUAUUCUUCACUCUUUUACAUCAACUUUUCGAUGCAGAUAAUUCUAUUGCUUGUAUAAAAAGUAACUCGACUCCGUUAACGUUCUUGUAUGAAUAAAAUUCUCAAACUCAAUUCCA
rnacentral:lncRNA from 1 species